rnacentral:rRNA from 1 species
AUUGAACGCUGGCGGCAGGCCUAACACAUGCAAGUCGAGCGAGCGGCGGACGGGUGAGUAAUGUCUGUGAAACUGCCUGAUGGGGGGGGAUAAAAACUGGAAACGGUAGCUAAUACCGCAUACCCUCAGAUGUGCCCAGAUGGGAUUAGCUAGUAGGGGGGGUAAUGGCUCACCUAGGCGACGAUCCCUAGCUGGUCUGAGAGGAGGACCAGCCACACUGGAACUGAGACACGGUCCAGACUCCUACGGGAGGCAGCAGUGGGGAAUAUUGCACAAUGGGCGCAAGCCUGAUGCAGCCAUGCCGCGUGUGUGAAGAAGGCCUUCGGGUUGUAAAGCACUGUCAGCGAGGAGGCGUUACUCGCAGAAGAAGCACCGGCUAACUCCGUGCCAGCAGCCGCGGUAAUAC